rnacentral:lncRNA from 1 species
CAGCCACAGCAACCCCAGAUCCGAGCCACGUCUGCGACCUACACCACAGCUCAUAGCAAUGACCUACAGCACAGCUCACGGCAACGCCGGGUCCUUAACCCACUGAGCAAGACCAGGGAUUGAAUCUGCGUCCUCAUGGAUACUGGUCAGAUUUGUUUCCACUGUGCCCCCAUGGGAACUCCUGGCUGGCCCUCCUUGGUGACAAGGGCUGGCGGAAGUGUGUUUGGGUGUGGGCACACCUGGACACAGAGUCCAGCUGGCUCCAUGAGUGACCUUGUGAGUCUCAGACUGACAACGACCCUGAGUGGGUGACCCCGGGCUGCCUGUGUGUUUGGCUGUAAGUGUCCUGUCAUUGUGCCUUUGUUCCCGGGAGUGACGUGAUGUGUGACAUCUUUCCAGAGGACCCUGUGGGAUUCCGUAGAGACCUGGCUACGCGCAUGUAAGGGGGUAUUUCUGAGGGACUCUGCGGUUUGUCCAUCCCUGUGGUACUGCAGCUGACCUCUUGCAACCUGUUUACUCCAGCUGUCUCUGCAUCUCUGUGUGUGUGGCAUUUUGAGUGUUGCUGACUUUGAGACCACCAGUUACCAUGUAAUUGUUUCUAUGUGACUGCCUCCCUUGCUGCGUCACAUGUUUCUCAGGGGCUCCAGGACCCCCUGACACACAUAUAUUUUUGACUUUCUGAACACCUCUCUUAUGUAUCAAUCAGGGUUUGCAUAUAUUUCCUUUUGCCACUGUAACAAAACACCACAAAUUCAGUGGUUUAAGACAGGACUAACAAGGAGUUCCUGUCGUGGCUCAGCCGUAUCUGACUAGCAUCCAUGAGGAUGCGGGUUUGAUCCCUGGCCUUGCUCAGUGGGUUAAGGAUCCAGUGUCGCCGUGAGCUGUGGUAUAUAUUGCAGCCGCGGCUCUAUCCUGUGUUGCUGUCACUGUGGUGUAGGCCGGCAGCUGCAGCUCCAACUCGGCCCCUAGCCUGGGAAUUUCCAAAUGCCUUGGGUGCGGCCCUAAAAAGACAAAAAACAAACACACACACAAAAAACACAAACGCAUCCUCUUACAGUUCUGGAGGGCAGAAGUCCGAAAUCAGUUUCACUGGACCAAAGUCACAGUGUCAGCAGGGCUGGUUCCUUCUGGGGAUUCCAGGGGAGAAUCUGUUCCCUUGCGUUAUCCAGCUCCUAGAGGCCACCUGCAUCCCUUGGCUGGUGGCCCCUUCCUUGUCUCACUCCAACUCCUUGCUUCCACCUGCACAUCUACUCUGAUCUCCUGCCUCCCUCUUAGGAGGCCCCAUUGAUUCCACGGGGCCUACCCUGAUAGCCUAGGAUAAGCCCCCCCUUCCAAAUCCUUAACUUCCCUUUUACCCUGUGAGGUGACGUUCACAGAGGCCAGGGAUGAGGGAUCAGGGUGUCAUAGCUCCUUGGGAGACUCGAUGCAGCCAAACCCAAGCCAAACAACAUUAGCAGGAGGUGGGUAUGUGGACCAGGGAUUUGGCACAGGGACGUGCCUGUCCGGAGGGAAGGGUGGACGUACAGUAUGGGGGAGGGGCAUCAGGGAUAAGCUGGAACCACCGAGAACAUGCUGGACCCCAUGUCAGCACCUCCCCACCCCACCCCCACCCCUGCUUCCAGCCUUGGUGAAAUGGGUGUCCUUUGAGAGAAGCUGGCAACCUUCGUCCCGUUCUGUCGGUCUUGGGUGACCAUGUGUUCCUGUGUUUCUGGGUGGUGGUGGGUGCUGUUUUUGCAAUCUGGGGGGCCUCCCUGGGCCUCUGGGUCUUUACAUGUCUUGGUGACUGUGAACAUUGCCGCUGCCAUGACUACAACAUGUUGUAUCUGUGGGGCCAAGUGCCUUACCGUUGGGUCCCGUGAAUGGCUGUGUAUGUGUGUUUGUGUGUGUGUGUGAACGUGCACUUCUGGGUCAGCUCCGACUGGGUGGCCCACAUUCGCCUGGCCCUCCUGACUUAAGUGGCCAUGCAUCUUUGUGACCACAUACCAGUGCUUCUGACCCUGCCUCUGGGCUAUGGUGUCCCUCUAGCUGCCUGACUUGGGAGAUACUAUGGCGUCUUAGGUCUGCCAUUAACAAAUGGCCACAAACCAUGUGGCUUGAAGCAGAAAUGGAUUCUCCCACAGUUCUGGAGGCCAGAAGUCCAAAAUCAAGGUGUCAGCAGGGCUACUCUUCCUGAAAAGACUCUAGGGAAGGAGCCUACCUUGCCUCUUCUGGCUUCUGUGGCUGGCGGGNNNNNNNNNNNNNNNNNNNUCCAGUUUCUCAUCUUCACAUGGCCUCCUCUGUGUGUCUGUCUUCUCUUCCAUCCCCUAUAAGGACUGUUGUCGUGGAUUUAGGGCUCAGGUGACGCAGGAUGAUAUCUUGAGAUCUGAACUUGAAUUGCAUUUGCAAAGACCCUUUUUCCAGAUAACGUCAGAUUCACAGGUUUGAGGGUGGAGUAGGUCGGGGACAUAUCUUUGUGGGAGACCACCACUCCACCCACUACAGAGGGUGACCGUCGGGCCCUGCAAGCAGCUGUGCAUGAGAACUUCUCAUGUGAUCGUCCCUCCUCGCAGGCAAGGUCAUGUGCAAUGGCUGUCUCUCCCGCAGACUCUGGGAGGGCACUUUCCUCUUGCUGCUCCACCCACAGCAGCCAGCAUGCUGCCUGCCUGGCAGGGAGCAGAUCCUGAGAAGAGAUGGUAAAGAGGAUGAGCCCCGGAGUUCCUGUUGUAGCUCAGUGGAAACAAAUCUGACUAGUAUCCAUGAGGAUGCAGGUUCGAUCCUUGGCCUCACUCAGUGGGUUAAGCAUCCAGCAUUGCCGGGAGCUGUGAUGCAGGUCAAAGACACGGCUCAGAUUCCACCUUGCUGUGGCUGUGGCUGUGGCAUAGGCCAGCAGCUGCAGCUCCGAUUUGACCCCAAGCCUAGAUCCAUAUGCCGCCGGUGUGGCCCUGAAAACCAAAAAAAAAAAAAAAAAAAAAUUGAGCCCUGUGCACUCCCCACCCCACCCCCACCUCUGCUGCCUUACAAUGUCUGCAAUUCUUUUUUUUCAUUAUUUUAAGAUUUUUAUUUUUUCUAUUAGAGUUGAUUU